GAUGAAGAACGCAGCGAAACGCGAUAGUUAAUGUGAAUUGCAGAAUUCAGUGAAUCAUCGAGUCUUUGAACGCACAUUGCGCCUUUUGGUAUUCCGAAAGGCACGUCUGUUCGAGCGUCAGUAAAACCCUUCCGGACCGGUGGUUUUUGUUAAAACCGCCUGGCCUCGGGACCCUGGCGUGGGGAAGUGACCCGCGAGUCUUAGGGCUUGUCUGGGUUUCCCCCGCUUAAACGCGGAGAAAGCUAGCGGGCAUCGGCCUCACAUAUUGCGACAACUCGUAAACCUUUAUAGGUUGUAACAGCACAGUGGACCUGCCCCGCCUCUUGCAACAAUAAGGAGCCGUCGUGGUUCCCUGCCCUUUGACCUCGGAUCAGAUGAGGAUACCCGCUGAACUUAAGCAUAUCAAUAAGCGGAGGA
rnacentral:misc_RNA from 1 species